rnacentral:tRNA from 1 species
CCGAAAUUACUCAGUUGGUACAGCGUUAGACUAGAUCGAAAGGUCCCUGGUUCGAUCCCGGGAUUAGCGA